rnacentral:tRNA from 1 species
GGGGAUUUAGCUCAGUGGCAUAAGCACCUGCCUGCCAAGCACGAGGUCAUGGGUUCGAUCCCCACUACCA